AUUUCCGGCACCGGCAUGGCGGGGUGAGCGGCUGUCUUCCUUAUUUAAGAUCGGGAAUUUAGUCAGCCUGGUGAGCGGACUCUGAGGAGAUGGAGUAUCGCUGAGGUGAUGGGAGAGAAUGUGGUCGUUAGCGACAUGGAGAGAGAAAGUGGGAAGCCCGUGGCUGUUGUCGCAGUUGUGACUGAGCCUCGGUUUACCCAGCGAUACAGAGAAUAUCUCGAGAGGCAGAAACUCUUUGAUACACAGCACCGUGUGGAAAAGAUGCCGGAUGGCUCGGUGGCGCUACCGGUGCUGGGAGAGACGCUUCCAGAGCAGCACCUGCAGGAGCUGAGAAAUCGUGUUGCCCCAGGCAGUCCCUGUAUGCUCACGCAGCUCCCGGAUCCUGUUCCUUCAAAGAGGGCCCAGGGUUGUUCACCUGCCCGAAAAUUGUGUCUUGAGAUGGAGUCUUGUUCUGUCUCCCAGGCUGGAGUACAGUGGUGCGAUCUCAGCUCACUGCAACCUCCACUUCCUGGGUUCAAGCGAUUCUCCUGCCUCAGCCUCCCGAGUAGCUGGAAUUACAGGU
rnacentral:sRNA from 1 species